ACUAAAAUAAAGCCUUGGAUGCGUCAC
rnacentral:piRNA from 1 species